rnacentral:rRNA from 1 species
GACGAACGCUGGCGGCGUGCUUAACACAUGCAAGUCGAACGGAAAGGCCCUGCUUUUGUGGGGUGCUCGAGUGGCGAACGGGUGAGUAACACGUGAGUAACCUGCCCUUGUCUUUGGGAUAACUUCAGGAAACUGGGGCUAAUACCGGAUAGGAGCUCCUGCUGCAUGGUGGGGGUUGGAAAGUUUCGGCGGUUGGGGAUGGACUCGCGGCUUAUCAGCUUGUUGGUGGGGUAGUGGCUUACCAAGGCUUUGACGGGUAGCCGGCCUGAGAGGGUGACCGGCCACAUUGCGACUACGAGACGGCCCAGACUCCUACGGGAGGCAGCAGUGGGGAAUAUUGCACAAUGGGCGGAAGCCUGAUGCGGCAACGCCGCGUGCGGGAUGACGGCCUUCGGGUUGUAAACCGCUUUCGCCUGUGACGAAGCGUGAGUGACGGUAAUGGGUAAAGAAGCACCGGCUAACUACGUG